GGUGCAGGGGAUGAUUUCAAGCGACCAAAGCCUGAGAGUUCUGUGAUUAGAACUUUUUUGUUGGUAACUGAUGCACC
rnacentral:snoRNA from 1 species